GCCAGCAGCUAUAUCACCCUGCAGCUCUCAACUGGCUACCCACUGAAGCUAAGCAACAUUGAGCCUGGUCAAUACUUGGAUAGUAGACCUCCUGGGAAGCUAUGGUUGCUGCUGGAA
rnacentral:rRNA from 1 species